CAACUUUCAGCAACGGAUCUCUUGGCUCUCGCAUCGAUGAAGAACGCAGCGAAAUGCGAUAAGUAAUGUGAAUUGCAGAAUUCAGUGAAUCAUCGAAUCUUUGAACGCACCUUGCGCUCCUUGGUAUUCCGAGGAGCAUGCCUGUUUGAGUGUUAUUA
rnacentral:rRNA from 10 species